ensembl:snoRNA
UGGCCUGAAAUGAUGACUAAAUUUCAUGUCUCUUCUUUGACACCUGUCUGGAGAUAUUUUUUGCCUUAACAAUCUGAUCAGGCUG